GCCAGCGUAGCUCAAUGGUAGAGCGUCAGGCUUUUAUUCCUCGUCAGAAAUGUCGAAGAUGGUAUGGAACCUGAAUGUUGCGGGUUCGACCCCCGCCGUUGGCU
rnacentral:tRNA from 1 species